AAAGCCGCGAAGCCGGCCUUCCACACAUCUUCCAGCACCUGCGCGCCUGAAUGCGUCCCACUCAGGCCCAGACACAGGCUUCUUCUCCCCGGGUCCUGGUCCUGCAUCCUCUCCCAGAGCCUCCGUUAGGGGGUGGGAAAGGACGUUGCCAUAGGUCUCUGAGGGCACCAUCUGCUCUCUUACUGGCCAAGGCCGUAAAAAGGUAGUCCUCCCAUUCGUUAGGGGGCAAACCCCAGAAAGUCUAUUGGCUGCGCCGUCCGCGAGCUUUGGUCUGCUUUGAAGGCGGGCUGCGGCGGCGAGAGGAGGGCGGGCGGGAGGCUGGCUGUUGUCGUGGUUACGCGGAGGCACGUGUGCAGCCCCGGAAGCGGCGCGGGGAAGCUGCUCCGCGCGCGCCGCGGGAGGAGGUGCCGCCCGGUCCGUUCGGGUCGGGCCCGGCUGGGCCAUGGAGUUGUUGCCUGAGCCCGCGUCGCGCUGUCUUCUGCUUCUUCCCUUGCUGCUGCUGCUUCUGCUGCUGCCUGCCCCGGAGCUGGGCCCGAGCCAGGCCGGAGCUGAGGAGAACGACUGGGUUCGCCUGCCCAGCAAAUGCGAAGUGUGUAAAUAUGUUGCUGUGGAGCUGAAGUCAGCCUUUGAGGAAACCGGCAAGACGAAGGAGGUGAUUGGCACGGGCUAUGGCAUCCUGGACCAGAAGGCCUCUGGAGUCAAAUACACCAAGUCCAUUUCAGAUCCCCCAGACCAGAUGACCUAUCUUCCUUCCAGCUCUGACUCACUUCCCGUUGGUGAGAUGUGCAGGUGUUGGGGCACAGGGCUGGAGGGACAGACCACUAACCCACUGGGGCUAGGAGGGGAACUCAGUUCCUCUCGUCCUGCUAUCUUGGCAGGGACUUGCGGUUAAUCGAAGUCACUGAGACCAUUUGCAAGAGGCUCCUGGAUUAUAGCCUGCACAAGGAGAGGACCGGCAGCAACCGAUUUGCCAAGGGCAUGUCAGAGACCUUUGAGACAUUACACAACCUGGUACACAAAGGGGUCAAGGUGGUGAUGGACAUCCCCUAUGAGCUGUGGAACGAGACUUCUGCAGAGGUGGCUGACCUCAAGAAGCAGUGCGACGUGCUGGUGGAAGAGUUUGAGGAGGUGAUCGAGGACUGGUACAGGAACCACCAGGAGGAAGACCUGACUGAAUUCCUCUGCGCCAACCACGUGCUGAAGGGAAAAGACACCAGUUGCCUGGCAGAGCAGUGGUCCGGCAAGAAGGGAGACACAGCUUCCCUGGGAGGGAAGAAGUCCAAGAAGAAGAGCAGCAGGGCCAAGGCAGCAGGCGGCAGGAGUAGCAGCAGCAAACAAAGGAAGGAGCUGGGUGGCCUUGAGGGAGACCCCAGCCCCGAGGAGGAUGAGGGCAUCCAGAAGGCAUCCCCUCUAACACACAGCCCCCCUGAUGAGCUCUGAGCCCACCCAGCGUCCUCUGUGCUGAGACCUCUGAUUUUGAAGCUGAGGAGUCGGGGGCAUGGCUCUGGCAGGCCAGGAUGGCCCCGCAGGCUUCAGGCCCUCCUUGCCUUGGCUGUGCCGUCGUCUUCCAAGGAAAGACACAAGCCCCAGGAAGAACUCAAGAGCUGCCAUGGGUAGCCUAUGCCGGCCUUUCCCGUCCCCAGAUGUUUCUCUCCUGACCCGGGGUUCAGGCAGGCCUUGUGGUUUUAGGACUGCAAGGACUCCAGUGUGAACUCAGGAGGGGCAGGUGUCAGAACCGGGCACCAGGACUGGAGCCCUUCCAGAGCCCAAGCUCACCUCACCUCAGUCCUCCCCCACAGGGAACUGAGACUGCAGCCCCCCAUGGCUGUUCUCUGCUCAUCCCUCCUGUGGACACCUUGCACUCUGCCUGGCCCUCCCCAGGGCCCAAAGAGUAAAAAUGUUCUGGUUCUGA